rnacentral:rRNA from 1 species
GACGAACCGUACGAACGUUAUUCGGAAUCACUGGGCUUAAAGGGUGCGUAGGCGGCGCAGUAAGUUGGGUGUGAAAUCCCUCGGCUUAACCGAGGAAUUGCGCCCAAAAACUACUGUGCUCGAGGGAGGUAGAGGUGAGCGGAACUUAGGGUGGAGCGGUGAAAUGCGUUGAUAUCCUAAGGAACACCGGUGGCGAAAGCGGCUCACUGGACCUCUUCUGACGCUGAGGCACGAAAGCUAGGGUAGCAAACGGG